rnacentral:rRNA from 1 species
AUGAGCGGCGGCGAGCUGGUAGAGACGACACCGGAGGCGGCGGUGGUGGUGGGUUCGCGGUUCUGCGCGCCGGCCGCCACCGCGUUCGCGGUGACCAAGACGAUCAGCGUGACGGGGCGCGACUUCACCGUCACGGACGCCCGCGGCGCGGCCGUGAUGCAGGUGGAGGAGGCCGUGUUCAGCUUCCUCCAGCACCGCUCCCUCCUCCUCCGCUCCUCGACGCGGCGUCGCGCCGCCCCGUUGCUCACCCUGCAGGACUCCACCUACUUAGCGAGCACGAGGUGGGAGGCGUACAGGGGGGACAGCACCAGCCGGAGGAACCUGCUCUUCGUCGCGGUGAAGACGGCGCCCGUGCAGCUCGCCAGGACCAAGGUGCGCGUGUUCCUCGCCGGCAACGGCUCCAGCGAGCGGGUCCCGGACUUCGUCAUCGGUGGCAGGCUGGCAGCUACUACGCCGGCGCGUGCAUUGUCUCUGCUGGAGGCGACGACUCCGACUGCGCCUGGGAGGGAGUUGAGUUGUGGGCCAUUUAUCAAACUCACAUCCAGCGACCGCAGAGAAGUAGGAUGGACGGACGGCAGCGGAGUAGCUGCGCUGGCCGCCACGCACAAAGAAGAGGAGGUAGCCAGUCCAUCAGCGGGAGACAUGCCGUGGCCGUGGGAGAGUACGGCGGCCCUGGUGGACGCGCGCUACACGACGACGCUAACGGUGACCAGAUCGAAAACCCCGCGGGGCUACGGGUUCGCCGUGACGGACGGCGGCAGCGGCGCGGCCGUGAUGCAGGUGGAGACCUCCUACUUCGGCGGCGGCCGCGAUCUGCGUUCGCUCCUCUUCCUAGGCGCCGCCACGCGCCGCCCCUUGCUCCUUGUCGAGGAGUCCCCGUCCCUGUUCAGAGCGGGCCGGCGGUGGGAGGCGUUGAGGGGGCGGUGCGCCAGCCAGGCGGACCGGCUCUUCCUUGCCGUGGACAGGGCGCGUUUUUUCUUCGAGCUGAUGACCAACGUCGACGUGUUCCUCAACGGCAACUCCUCCGGCGAGGGGGAGCCUGAUUUGGCCGUCCAGAGCAGCGACUACGGCAAUGCGAUGACCGUCUCCCGCCGUGGCGCCGCCAUCGCGAAGAUCGACAAGAAGAGGAGCACCUUUUGGGCCGACCUGGCUGGAGAGCGCGCAUACAAUGUCAGGGUCAACCCGGGCGUCGACCAAGUGUUGGUCCUGGCACUCACCGUGGUUCUCGACCAGAUGCAUAAUCCUGAUUAUGUAUCACGCUGUUCAUGCGGACGUAGAAGAUAA